UAUUAUUUACUGAUUCAAAUCGUUAGAGUUCAAAACAAAAUUCCAAGCCCUCUUUUCAAUUAGAAACCCUAACCCCAACCAUUUCAAAAUUUUAUUAAUGCGCGAUUUAUCCUUGUUUGUUCGAUUUUCUCAUCGUUGCUUGUGAAGUUGUGUUCCUCUCUGCUCUGUCGCCGUCGCGCUUGUCGCUGUCGCGCCGUCGUGCUCGUCGCUACUCGCAUCGGCGCAUCGCCAUCGUGCUCGUUCGUUGCUCACAUCGUCGUCGUGUUCGUCACUGCUCUGCAUUUCCUCAUCGUUGCUUCUGAAGUUGUGUUACUCGCUGCUCGCGUUGUCGUCGUGCUCGUCUCUGCUCGCGCGCCGUCGUGCUUGUUGCUGCUCGUGCGCCUUUGUACUCGUCGCUCUGCAUUUUGAGCUUUUGAAUUUUGCUCUGCUCGAUUCCAAUUUGCUCGCCUUCUUCUACUUGCGACGUUUUUCUUGGCCCCUGGCUAGGUGCUGAUAUGCUCUGCUCCCCCGUGGUGCUCGUACUCUUUCCAUCACAGAUAUGCUCCUUACUUUACUCAGCUUUGUUAUGGCUGAAGUUGAUGAGAAAUUCUGGUGUUGGAGUUGGCUGAGAAUGCUUCCGGUUCAAUCAAUUUGCUGAGGAGGAAGAGGUUGAUAGAUUCAGCAAAGUUCAAGAGAGUUUUUUGAGUAGUUCUUCAACUCUCAGUAUACUUGAAUUAAUGAAUUAUGAGAAAAUCAACCCUCGAAUGUGCAGAAAUUCUACAACAUCACUAAAGAUAUAUACACGAAAUCACAGAUAAAUUUUAAAAAAUAAGUUUUCUUUCACUAAGAUUUUUU